rnacentral:lncRNA from 1 species
UCAGUUGAGGUAAAAGGUCCAAUACCCAGACCAUGAGUGAAAAUCUAGGAUGAUUAGGAAUAGAGUGAUUCAUGGGAAGCGGGUGGUAUGGCGCCACUUAGCGGAACAUUGAUAUCACGAGCAGUUCAGACCCUGGUGGGAUACUGUCGUUACAUACUUCGGGUGUGUAUAUGAUAGUAUUUCUGCGAAAGGUUAUUUAUGCUGCGUUUCUC